rnacentral:rRNA from 1 species
AACGAACGCUGGCGGCAUGCCUAACACAUGCAAGUCGAACGAGACCUUCGGGUCUAGUGGCGCACGGGUGCGUAACGCGUGGGAACCUUCCCUUAGGUUCGGAAUAACUCCCCGAAAGGGGUGCUAAUACCGGAUAAUGUCUUCGGACCAAAGAUUUAUCGCCCUUGGAUGGGCCCGCGUUGGAUUAGCUAGUUGGUAGGGUAAAAGCCUACCAAGGCGACGAUGCAUAGCUGGUCUGAGAGGAUGGUCAGCCACACUGGGACUGAGACACGGCCCAGACUCCUACGGGAGGCAGCAGUGGGGAAUAUUGGACAAUGGGGGAAAGCCUGAUCCAGCAAUGCCGCGUGAGUGAUGAAGGCCUUAGGGUUGUAAAGCUCUUUUACCCGGGAUGAUAAUGACAGUACCGGGAGAAUAAGCCCCGGCUAACUCCGUG